rnacentral:rRNA from 1 species
GAACCUUACCUGGGCUUGAUAUCCUAAGAACCUUUUAGAGAUAAGAGGGUGCUAGCUUGCUAGAACUUAGAGACAGGUGCUGCACGGCUGUCGUCAGCUCGUGUCGUGAGAUGUUGGGUUAAGUCCCGCAACGAGCGCAACCCACGUAUUUAGUUGCUAACGGUUCGGCCGAGCACUCUAAAUAGACUGCCUUCGUAAGGAGGAGGAAGGUGUGGACGACGUCAAGUCAUCAUGGCCCUUAUGCCCAGGGCGACACACGUGCUACAAUGGCAUAUACAAUGAGACGCAAUACCGCGAGGUGGAGCAAAUCUAUAAAAUAUGUCCCAGUUCGGAUUGUUCUCUGCAACUCGAGAGCAUGAAGCCGGAAUCGCUAGUAAUCGUAGAUCAGCCAUGCUACGGUGAAUACGUUCCCGGGUCUUGUACUCACCGCCCGUCACACCAUGGGAGUUGAUUUCACUCGAAGCCGGAAUACUAAACUAGUUACCGUCCACAGUGGAAUCAGCGACUGGGGUGAAGUCGUAACAAGGUAACCGUAGGAGAACCUGCGGUUGGAUCACCUCCUUUCUAG